GAAUUUUGUGCUAGUCCUUCUGUUUAUCUUUACUGUUCUUCGUGCCUAUAAGUAUCAGGACAUUACCGAUGAAUCUUCUCUUGAGCUUGGCUCUAACAUAUACUAUAAAAAUAUACCUAGAACAAGAACCUGUUACGGAAAAAUGUGACUCAUUUGGAGGAGCAUUGCAUUACUUAAUUGCUCUUUAUUUUGUCUUUAAUUUGGAAUAUCCCAAAGAAGCAUCCUGCAUUUUGGAGUUUCUUCAAAGAUAUAUUUCAAAAAUACACCCCGAAGCAGGAACCAAAUCGAAAAAACAAAAUCUUUUGAAAAAAAAAGUUAUUUCAUAUUAACCGAAUUUCUGAAUAAUAAAUUAUUAUUUUAUUAAAUAAUUAUUUAUAAAUUAUUAUAUUAUUUCUUUUUUUUGAGUCCAUAAAUGUUAAAUGAAUUAGUUCCAACCUUAAAGGGUUUUUUUUGUGAGAUUUAGCUUGUAAGUAGGUACCUGUAUUAACAUAUUUGAUAUUAUAUGGGGCCCCAAAAUGUAUAUAGACUAUGUCAAAGUUCUUGGCUACUUCAAGAGUUUUAAGAGUUUAUGUUCUUGUUUGUAUAUUGAAGAGUUUAAGUUUCAAAUAUACUUGUUAUUUUCCUUUUUUUUUUUGAAAACUUACCAUGUAGUUUUGUUAUGUUCCUACUGAGUUUAUUGAAUUUCCAUUGAGUUUUGAAAAAAUAAAUCCUUUGUAUUUUUUUAA